rnacentral:rRNA from 1 species
UGCAGUCGAGGGGCAGCGGGGCAGGAAGCUUGCUUUCUGCCGCCGGCGACCGGUGCACGGGUGAGUAACACGUAUGCAACCUGGCCGUGACAGAUGGAUAACCGGGAGAAAUCCCGCCUAAUACAGCAUGACGCCGGGAAGGGACAUCCCUUUCCGGCCAAAGGGGGCGACUCCGGUCACGGAUGGGCAUGCGGCGCAUUAGGUAGUUGGUGGGGCAACGGCCCACCAAGCCGACGAUGCGUAGGGGUUCUGAGAGGAAGGUCCCCCACAUUGGAACUGAGACACGGUCCAAACUCCUACGGGAGGCAGCAGUGAGGAAUAUUGGUCAAUGGCCGGAAGGCUGAACCAGCCAAGUCGCGUGAGGGAAUAAGGCCCUACGGGUCGUAAACCUCUUUUGUCAGGGAGCAAGGCCGCCCACGUGUGGACGGAAGGAGAGUACCUGGAGAAAAAGCAUCGGCUAACUCCGUGCCAGCAGCCGCGGUAAUACGGAGGAUGCGAGCGUUAUCCGGAUUUAUUGGGUUUAAAGGGUGCGUAGGCGGCCUGCCAAGUCAGCGGUAAAAUUGCGGGGCUCAACCCCGUACAGCCGUUGAAACUGCCGGGCUCGAGUGGGCGAGAAGUAUGCGGAAUGCGUGGUGUAGCGGUGAAAUGCAUAGAUAUCACGCAGAACCCCGAUUGCGAAGGCAGCAUACCGGCGCCCUACUGACGCUGAGGCACGAAAGUGCGGGGAUCAAACAGGA